GGGACAAAGGAGGCUCUGGAUAAAGCCAGAGGACAAACCAGAGUCAACAUCUGGGCAGCCUAUGAGUGUUGGAGACAACAGAGCGGUUGCUUUGUUUCUGUUGGAAGGGUAAUUAUUUGCUUUGCUUUGGUGGAUUUUUUUAUUUCCCUCCAAAAAUGUAGUGUUCACCAGCUUAGCUACUUUUGUAGCUUGUAUUAGCCCAAUGCUAACGUUAGUUUUCUCUGCUUGCAGGUGGUUGUAGUGGCCAGAGUACAGGUGCCGCUGUAUUAAAGAGGUUGAAGGAUGUGACAUUCUGGUUAUAUUGCACACCUACAGUCGCCAGUGUCUGCAUGGUAGUCCUACAGUUGCACCAAUGCUAUUUCCUUUCAUGUUGACUGGGCCCCAUUUCUAGUUAUCUAAAAUAUUGAUCUUUAUUAUAUCUGCAUUUAAUUGGAAGCACCAUUGUUUUAAAAAAGC